UUCAAAUUUCCAAUAUUUCGAUGUUAUGUUGGUAGCACAGACAGUUGGCGGUUGGUAGCACAAGCAUGUCAAUUCACAACCGAUAUUUACCAGUGUUUAUUCCACAUUAAUUGUGAUUAAAUGAAUAAACAAAGCAUUUACGUUAAUUUAAUUAUUUUUACAAAUUUCUAAAACGCUUAGCCCAGUCUUAAGAAGUUCAUAACAUUUAAAAGAAGCUGCGCUAAAACUAAUAAGUACUAGUGCUUACGGCUUACACCUAUUUUGAGAAUUGGGUUGCAAUGUUUUCAUUUGCAAAUUGAUUUAUCAUAUUAAUUCCAUUACAUAUAAGAAUGAUAACAAGUUUGUUUGGAUAUCUACUUCUCGUUGGCUGUCGAUUACGAGGAGAGCAGCAAGAGGGCCGAUGAUUGCUCCGUGCAAAUCUACAAUUUGGUGUAUGCAGUGUCGUUUGAUUAUUAUGGUCUUACUACACGGAAGUAACUGAUGUCGGAAAUUUUCAUCAUAGAUAUGAGCAUAGAUAUCGACAAGAAACCGUUUUCAUAUGCGUACACCUCCUUUUCGGAAACUGUCAUCUUCAGAGAAAUAUACUUGCUUGUAGAUAUAUAAUUUAUGGAAUAAUGUAUACAGUUUAAUGUUAACAAUGGCAGAAAUAAUAAUAAUUACAAAACA